rnacentral:lncRNA from 1 species
GCGGGGGCCGUCGUAGAUAUUUCGCUCCUUCGAUCUCUAUCAAGAUCUGCACACGAGGAGCGGAGAGAGGGGUGUAGGAGUCAUACCUGCGAUGCAUCGAUCUUGGACUCCGUCGUCGGGGCGAGACCCGUCUAUCGGUGGUGGGGCCUGCUGGGUUUAGCAGGAGCCCGAUUUUUCUUCCGCUUCUCCUUCUGACCAGUGCCCUCAGUCAGUCACCAGUCGGAAGCUGCUUCGUCCAUGCGCAUGUAUUUGUACGCGUGCUCCAGCAAUUCUGCGUACGUCUUGGGGAGGGUCUUGUCUGUGAAAUAUGUGAACCGGGACCCCCUUAGCCCCCUC